rnacentral:lncRNA from 1 species
AAUUUGAUAACAUUGAAUCGGUUAUUGUAAUAAAUUGUAUGCAUUUUAAGAUAAGUAAGAAACUAUCAACUAUUUUUUUGGGAUAAAAGAUAACCGUUCUCCCUCCGGGAGUUUCAACAACCCUCAAUCGCCGGCGACCAACUUUAUCUAGACUGCAACCAACCAAAACUUAGAGGC